rnacentral:tRNA from 1 species
CCGCUCAUAGCUCAAUGGAAGAGCGUUGCCCUCCGGAGGCAAAGGUUGAGGGUUCGAGUCCCUUUGGGCGGU